rnacentral:rRNA from 1 species
AUGGACGCUGUUUGUGUCGUGAUUUCCAGAAGAGCAGCAAAUUCAGCCGAAACUAUGUGGUCUACCGUACGCAUACGAACCGACCGUACCGUAUAUACAGGGCCCUGGAGCAGCCCGCCGGCCCUUACCGCCGCCGUGGCGGCCGGGAACAGGCCGGCUCCCGCCUUCCACGUGCCAGCGGAGUCGCUCUCAUCGAGGCGGCGCCGCACCGAAUCCCCCGGUCACGCUAGCGCUGGGUUAUCCGAGGCCGAUACCGGCGCAGGCGGCGGGCGGAUCUUAUCCUUUUUAGAAACGAGGGCAUCCCUGAAAGAUUCUUGCUGA